GAUGAACGCUGGCGGCGUGCCUAAUACAUGCAAGUCGAGCGAACAGACGAGGAGCUUGCUCCUCUGACGUUAGCGGCGGACGGGUGAGUAACACGUGGAUAACCUACCUAUAAGACUGGGAUAACUUCGGGAAACCGGAGCUAAUACCGGAUAAUAUAUUGAACCGCAUGGUUCAAUAGUGAAAGACGGUUUUGCUGUCACUUAUAGAUGGAUCCGAGCCGCAUUAGCUAGUUGGUAAGGUAACGGCUUACCAAGGCAACGAUGCGUAGCCGACCUGAGAGGGUGAUCGGCCACACUGGAACGGAGACACGGUCCAGACUCCUACGGGAGGCAGCAGUAGGGAAUCUUCCGCAAUGGGCGAAAGCUUGACGGAGCAACGCCGCGUGAGUGAUGAAGGUCUUCGGAUCGUAAAACUCUGUUAUUAGGGAAGAACAAAUGUGUAAGUAACUAUGCACGUCUUGACGGUACCUAAUCAGAAAGCCACGGCUAACUACGU
rnacentral:rRNA from 1 species